GGUGAACGCUGGCGGCAGGCUUAACACAUGCAAGUCGGGCGGGCAUCUUCGGAUGUCAGCGGCAGACGGGUGAGUAACACGUGGGAACGUACCCUUCGGUUCGGAACAACUCUGGGAAACUGGAGCUAAUACCGGAUACGCCCUUAUGGGGAAAGGUUUACUGCCGAAGGAUCGGCCCGCGUCUGAUUAGCUAGUUGGUGGGGUAACGGCCUACCAAGGCGACGAUCAGUAGCUGGUCUGAGAGGAUGAUCAGCCACACUGGGACUGAGACACGGCCCAGACUCCUACGGGAGGCAGCAGUGGGGAAUAUUGGACAAUGGGCGCAAGCCUGAUCCAGCCAUGCCGCGUGAGUGAUGAAGGCCUUAGGGUUGUAAAGCUCUUUUGUCCGGGACGAUAAUGACGGUACCGGAAGAAUAAGCCCCGGCUAACUUCGUG
rnacentral:rRNA from 1 species